rnacentral:rRNA from 1 species
UNUCNGUAGUUCCCCUGCGGAUGCCACCAAAAGUCGGAUCGCCCCCGGGCGUAUCCGGCGUACAUCGCUGGUCCAGAGAAUGUCUCCCGGGAUAAAUUCUGGGGCGAGGCUCGCUCAGCGAGCCCGCCGAAACGCAUGCAAAGCGAUGGGCCUCCGGCUAGCGGAGGCUUACGGUACAUGCUGCCGAUCGGCGAACCGAAUGCCGAACGAUUUGCGAGGUGAACCUGCGGAAGGAUCAUU